CUCUUCACUCACUUCCAUGAUUUCCUUCUUCUCCUUCCUUUUAUAAUCAUCUUUAUAGGUCAUGUCACAUCUUGACGACCCAAUUCUUAAAUACUACUAUUACAAUUUGAUUUCAUUUUCUUGUUACCAGAAAUAUUUACUCAUUGGACCACUUGGUUUCUUCUCAAAUGAUUUCAUUAUUUAUGUCUCCGCCUUAUAGGUUUUUGUAAGUUUAAACAAAUUGAUAAUUUAUGGUCCGCUUAUUGAUAUAUGCUUUUUUAUAUGCUAACAAUAAAAUACCCAUAAUCCGAUCAUUGACAUUAAUUAGAUAACAAUAAGAGAUACCUACCCAUACGAUAAAUGAAAAAUGCGAGUAAGGUACAGCCGACUUUGUACCUCUAUCUCCAACUUUUUUAUCUCCGUCUCCCUGUC
rnacentral:lncRNA from 1 species